rnacentral:siRNA from 1 species
GACUGGUGUUCGACCACGGUUGGA